GUAUGGUUUUAGCUUUAUUGUGCCCUAAAAAUUUAAUGUUUUCAAAACGUUUUGAAACUGGCUUAAAUAUUAGUUGAGUAUAUGACUGUAACAAAUCAGGAAAGAAUAUAGCAUGAUGGAGUACCAUUCUGGAUAUAUGACGUCAUUAAUUUGAUGCAUUUCUCUAUUUCAAACAGAAAAAGCCUCAAAAUGGCACAUUUCAAGGGUUAAUUUCCUUAAGAAAAUAAUAUAUUGUGUAAAAUUCUUUGAAAAAUCACAUAUCUCAAAAUCUUUGUGGGCGAUGCCUGUGGACAAUAUUAUCUAUAAGAAAAUUCCAUUGAAAAUUGAUGUCUUCUGCAACUUUUUAAGAAAAUACGGGAAAAUGCACAAGUUUAUGACGUCACAAUUAGCAUUU